rnacentral:rRNA from 1 species
GGGCGAAGCCUGAUCCAGCCAUGCCGCGUGGUGUGAAGAAGGUCUUCGGAUUGUAAAGCACUUUAAGUUGGGAGGAAGGGCAGUAAGUUAAUACCUUGCUGUUUUGACGUUACCAACAGAAUAAGCACCGGCUAACUUCGUGCCAGCAGCCGCGGUAAUACGAAGGGUGCAAGCGUUAAUCGGAAUUACUGGGCGUAAAGCGCGCGUAGGUGGUUCAGCAAGUUGGAUGUGAAAUCCCCGGGCUCAACCUGGGAACUGCAUCCAAAACUACUGAGCUAGAGUACGGUAGAGGGUGGUGGAAUUUCC